UACGGAGGGUGCGAGCGUUGUUCGGAAUCACUGGGCGUAAAGGGCGUGUAGGCGGUCCGCUAAGUCUGAUGUGAAAGCCCGGGGCUCACCCCCGGAAGUGCAUUGGAAACUGGCAGACUCGAGUCCCGGAGAGGAGAGUGGAAUUCCUGGUGUAGCGGUGAAAUGCGUAGAUAUCAGGAGGAACACCGGUGGCGAAGGCGGGUCUCUGGGCCGAUACUGACGCUGAGGAGCGAAAGCGUGGGGAGCGAACAGG
rnacentral:rRNA from 1 species